CAGUCGCCACGGUAAUACAGAGGGUGCGAGCGUUAAUCGGAUUUACUGGGCGUAAAGCGUGCGUAGGCGGCUUUUUAAGUCGGAUGUGAAAUCACUGAGCUUAACUUAGGAAUUGCAUUCGAUACUGGGAAGCUAGAGUAUGGGAGAGGAUGGUAGAAUUCCAGGUGUAGCGGUGAAAUGCGUAGAGAUCUGGAGGAAUACCGAUGGCGAAGGCAGCCAUCUGGCCUAAUACUGACGCUGAGGUACGAAAGCAUGGGGAGCAAACAGGAUUAGAUACCCGCGUAGUCCCUGUCUCUUAUAC
rnacentral:rRNA from 1 species